GUCUGUGAAAUUCUUCGAGAAUAAUUUGUAGAUCUCUUCCGUACUUUUGUUCAGUCUCUACAAUCUCUGUAAUGAUUUCUUUGCGCUCUACUCUCUUUUUAGAGCAUUUUCUACACACGAAAGGGGCGUACACUACACCACUAAACAAACAUAAUAACAGCUAUUAAAAUCCUUACUACAUUAAAAAUUAAAUUACAAAUUCAUAUAAUUAAAAGUAGUAGUAGUGGUAGUAGUAGUAGUAAUAGUAGUAGUAGUAGUAGUAGUAGUAGUAGUAUAGUAGUAGUAGUAGUAGUAGUAGUAGUAGUAGUAGUAGUAGUAGUAGUAGUAUUUAUUACUUAAUAAUAAUAGUACUUUAACAAGAUAUUAACAGAUAUAUUUUUACAAAUUAGGAAAGAUUGUAACACUAGAACAUUGAAAAUAUAUGUAUAUCUUCAUACGAUUUUGCGUACAUUAAAAUAUUAUCUAAU
rnacentral:misc_RNA from 1 species